AAACCCGCGAGAGGGGAAGGAAGGAAGCGGGGAGGCGGGACUACUGCGCCUGCGAAUCUCGUUUGCACCAAUAGGGAGCAGGGAGCAAAUGAAAGACGGGAGGGAGAGGACCAAUGCAAAGCGCCGGAGGAUAACCGGAGAGUAAAGAACGAGCCUCCCUUGUAGCACUGGGCGAUUGCAGGAAUGUGUCUGAGCAGCAAAAAAACGUGCAGUCAAUGCUACCAGAAGGCCUGCAAACGGCAAGAUCAAGAUAUCUGCUGGGUUUUGUCCGCCACAUCAGAUCAAUAAUCUAUCAAAUUCACCUCCCUGUUUUCUGCAGUGACUGACCAGAUCCCUAGGAAAAGUCUGCAGCAGGGAAUAUACCACCCUGCUGAAAUACUGAUUUUAUACUAUCUGCUGUUCAGUAUAUUAUGACGUGCUGAACUGAGCUGCCAAUUUGUAUUGUCUACUUUUAUUGGUUUUAAUUGCUGUUUUACUGUUUUAAAAUGUUAUUUGCCCUGAGCCCAUCUGGGAAAGGGUAGAAUAUAAAUUAUCUAAAUAAAAUAAAUAAAUAAAAUACUGUAAAUGA